rnacentral:rRNA from 1 species
CUCUCGGCAACGGAUAUCUAGGCUCUCGCAUCGAUGAAGAACGUAGCGAAAUGCGAUACUUGGUGUGAAUUGCAGAAUCCCGCGAAUCAUCGAGUUUUUGAACGCAAGUUGCGCCCGAAGCCACUCGUGGCCAAGGGCACGUCUGCCUGGGCGUCACGCACCGUUGCC